CCGUCUCCACCGGAGCCGGGGCGUGGGGUGUCAGGGACGAGCCGGGGGCGGGGCGUGGGCGGGGCCAGUCGGGCUCGCACCUGGGAGCGGAGGGAUGGAUGCUGCGCUCCUGCGGAGGGCGGGCGAGCCGGUGAGCAUCCCGGGAGCCCGAGGAUGCUGCCCUGCUCGGCCGUCUCCGCCGGAGUCCGGGCGUGGGGUGUCGGACGAGCCUGCGAGCCUGCGACAGCCCACGGCCGUCCCAGCCAGGAUGGACCCUGGGGGAGCAAAGCACCGCUCCCCUCCGUGCACGCGUCUCCCUCCCUCCCUGUCCGUCCGUCCGUCCGUGUGUCUGUCGGCGUGGGCAGAACUGAGGACAGCCGGGAGCACGGUUUCCUCCUGGCUGAGGAGCCUGACUCUGGGCGCGCAGGAACCCUCCUCGUCCUUGGGGUAGCCCUGAGGGGGCGCUUCCCUGCCUGUGUGGAGCUGGGAUGGCCCGGCCGUCGUCACUGUGUCCCUUCCCCGGCAAACGAGGGGUGCAAGGUCAGGGGCUCAACUGCAGGCUUGGCUGUCUUAGUGUAAGGAGCCCAAGAUAGCAAAGCAGAGGCGCCACGCGCGUUACUCUAAGUGAAUUCACAGCCAGGCUCCGGAAACAGGACCCACGCCCCGCCCCGCCCGCCCCGCCCCCGCCCCGCCCGCCCCAGAGGGAGGAGGUCUGCAAGCAAACUCAUCGGACUCCUGCAGAACCCCUUGGGGUGAAGGCGGUGGUGGUAGAAGGGCUGCGCCCCCACCCCGUACCCCUCCCCACCCCCGUCUGUGCGCUGCUUACCGAAUAAGAGGCGCUGUGGCCACGGUUUCAUCUUUUCCCGAAGCCUCGACGUCAGCUGAUAGGAUGGGUGUGAGUUAUAGAGGAUGCAUUUUUGGUUUUUUUUUUUUUGAGGCUUAGAUAAAAUGAAUCGCAGGAUUGCGAAGGUCCUUACAGGUGGGCUGUGUGUGUGUCCCAAACAAGCAAGAAUCAGAAAACGAGGCUACCUACAGCUCAAAACAUUCGUUUGAUUUGUUUCUUCUUUUCACAGCCAGUUCUGCAACCGAGUCCUGUCUAUGUUGCCUUUACAGUGUUUUGCCCCCAAUCUCCUUCCAGUUGCCACGGCCACCAUCCUAACUCAAGACCCCUUGGUUGCUUCUUUGGUUUGUUGUAAUGUCCUCAUACGGUUGUCACCUGUUCGGAUCUGGUCUCUUUACCAACGCUGGGUGCAUAGUUGGGGAAUAACCUCGUGGCUGUGACAGCUCCCAAAGGAAAGCAAACUCGGUGGGAGAAUGACACAGGGUUUGGAAUGUCAGGGAUUAAAUCAGCUGCUCAGCCCUCUCUCACUGUGCCCCAAGUGUAAUUAAAGUCAAAGGAGUAGAGCCGUGGUGGGAGAAAGAGGUAGAGUUAUUUUAUGAUCAUAGAAAAAUAGAGAAUAAAACACAAUCUAAGUACAAACUGUAGUACACAGCCACCUCGCUACUUAAGAACUGUGGUGCCUGUAUCCACACUGACAGCCAAACAAUAUACACAGACUACCCAUGUUCAAAGAUAACACUCUGUGUUUAAUGAUGCAGAAGCCUUUUAGUAGCUUGCUCUUUCUUUCUUUCUUUCUUUCUUUCUUUCUUUCUUUCUUUUUUUGCGAAGGUCUCGUUGUGUAGCUCAAGCUAGCCUGGAACUGGCUAUGUAGACCAGGCUGGCCUCACACCCAUUCCAUGUAAAGAUACGCCUGUGUAGUCUCCCAAGUUCUGAAAUUAAAGGUACUUUAAAGUGGUCAGUGUGCUGGGUGGUGGUGGUGCUUCCUUUAAUCCCAGCACUGGGGAGGCAGGGGCAGGUGGAUCGCUGUGAGUUGGAGGCCAGCCUGGUCUACAAAGUUACACAGAGAACCCUGUCUCGAACCCCCCCCCCAAGAAAAGUGGGGUUUGUAAAACUUAUGUUAACUUUUCUCUGUAUAUCCAUCAGUCAAGCCUUGUCAGGCAAAGAAAAACAAAGAUUCUUGGCUGUUAAAAGGAAAUUUACUAGAGUCCCUUGGCUUCCUUGGGUGGAGGGAACAAUGAAAAACAAAGCACUCUGAGCUUCCUUCCCCCAAACCCCACCCCUUCCAACAAGGUAUUACAUAUUUCCUUCCAAUGGAAGAUGCUAAUUUUAGUAAGAGGAUGGGAAUUGAAAGUUAAAAUACUAUUAACUUCCACACCCUAGAGAGUUACUUUAAACUAAUAGUCUGUGGCUCUGUAUCCAAGCUGGAGUCAACAGAGAGGAAGGAGCCUCAGCUGAGGAAAUGCCUCCAUGAGAUCCAGCUGUAAGGCAUUUUCUCUUUUAGUGAUCAACUCCGGAAGGCCCAGCCUAUGGUGGGUGAUGCCAUCCCUGGGCUGCUGGCCCUGGGUUCUAUAAGAAGGCGGGCUGAGUAAGCCAUGAGAAGCAAGCCAGUAAGCAGUGUCCCUCCAUAGCCUCUGCAUCAGCUUCUGACUCCAGGAUCCUGCCCUGUUUUUGAGUUCCUGUCCUGACUUCCUUCAGUGGUGUGAGAAACUUGCUUUGCAGGCUGGCCUCGAACUCACAGAGAUCUGCCUCCCCGCUUGCAGGUGUGCAGAUAGCAACCUUCAUCGAAAAUGGGAUCCUGGAGUGCAAACUUCUGAUAAUCACUUAGUAUUUCACAGCUGCCCCGAGUAGAAUAAAAGCCUUGAGGUAGACACUUCAAUGUAAUAUAAAGACUUCAGCCUUUUAGAGUCAAAAUAAUUUCAAGUUAGAAAAUCAAAUUUGAAUAGGUUCAGUUUUUUUUUUAAACUGGACAAACUGACUUUAAAUUUCAUAAGAAAAUGGAAAAUGUCAACAAUUGCUAAGACAAUCUUGAAUAAAGUUGAAAGAACCUUUUAACCAUAAGCUGUCAGCAGGAGGAAGAGAAAAAGGAAAGACUUCCUUCUUGCCCUUGCUUAUAUAUGAGUCUGCCUGCUAUGUCACUUCCUGCCUGGAACCCAAGACUUCCUUUUACUACAUUUCCCAGAAUCAUGAGUCUGCCUGCUAUGUCACUUCCUGCCUGGACCCCAAGACUUCCUUUUACUACAUUUCCCAGAAUCCUCCUUGAGUCCUAGUCCCGCCUAACUUGCUGCCUCAUUGGCCAAACAGUGCUUUAUUCAACAACCAGUAAGAAGAUAAACAUACACAGAAUGACCUCCC
rnacentral:lncRNA from 1 species